CGGGCUGUGAGGGGCAUGGCCUGGGGUGACGCUGGGCACAGGCCACCGGUGUCCGCUGGCCCCGUGCCUCCCCCGGCACCCAGCCUGUUACAGAGUUCGGAGUUAUGAAGCUGCUCCUUCAAGGAUAAAAAUAAGCUUCGGAGUUUUUAAGGGUUUUUGUUGGUUUUUUUUUUUUUUUGGUUUUGAAGAGGUGUGGAUUUUUAUUUUUUUUGCUGUUUCCUUCCUGCAGCUCCAUCAGUCUCUCCAGCUGGUUCUGCAUCCUGCAAUCAAACUCCCGGUCCCAGCUGAAGUGCUGGGGAAAAGCACGGGGCCGGGCAGCAGCCAGCGCAGAGCGAGCGCCGCGGAGGUAGGACACGCGCUCCUGCGCUCCCCUGGCCACGGGGAUCCGAAACGGGCCCUGUCCUGGGGCCGCUCCAUGAGCUGGGAGAGUCCCAGUCCAACUGAUGUCCAUCCGGCCGCAGAAAUGAAGACACGGAUGCCGUGCUGUAGGUACGGGGUUAAGCCACCUCUUGUUCCACUCAAGAGGAGCAUCCUGCCACCCUGAAAGCCGCUUUAUCAGCAGCCAGACCCACGCGCGAUGCAGAAAUGUGCCGCCACCCAGGCAAGCCGAGGAGAGGGUGGCCCAUGGACACUCAGCUCUGACCCUCUUCUGCCCGGUACUGGAUGUGGUCGCACCUCGGGGAGAGACGGGGGAGACCUCGCUCCCGCAGCACGAUCUUCAGUCCUCAACAACGGCAGGAGCUUCGCUAAACCCAUGGAUUGGGAGAGAAAGUUCCUGGGUCCCGAGGAUGACGCUGGGGUUCGCUCUCGGCAAUUACAGGGAUGGCUCUUUCACUGGUCACGUCGGAGAGGGCCCAGGCUCUGCUGUGUGUCUGGCGAGGCAGGAAUUCCUCCAUGCCCACAACAAAUUAACGGUCUUACAAAAUGCAUCAGCCCCAGAAAGUGCCAUCUUAUUAUACAUUCAGUUUUAUAUCCAAUUUUCAGCGCCAACGGCAGGAGAGGUCGUGUCACCUCGGCCUGUGCGUGCUCUCUGAAGGCUUUACCCGCUUAUGAGCAUCACAUAUUUUAUUUCAAAGUGACUGAGGAAUGAUCAAUACUCUUCUGCCUCCCUUCUCCUUCCCGGAGGUGCAAAGUGAAGUCAAUCAAGGGCAAAUGGCACCACAGCUUUCUUCCUGGCCACACCGUAACCAAACUUCGGAACAAAAGGUAACGUGCAGCCGCAGUUUCGUCGCAAAUAGCACAUUUAAACAACACGGUAAAUAAAGUCAGGGAAUGCAGAUUUCUUAUCAAAUAGCAAGGACUGUCCCGCAGUUGAGGCUGGUGUGGAUGUAAGGCCAGUGCUGCUGCCAGUGCUUGGCACUGGGUGCUCAGAGCUUCUGGGGGUGCUCAAGAAGCCAUCAGCCACGUGCCGGGAGCUGCUUUCAUUCAAAUCCCCCAUCCCCACCCGGCUUUUGCUUGGGAGGCAUCUGUCUUGCUGCCGAAAUCCUGAUGUCUCCAGGCGACAUUGCUCCGCUCUGAGAAGGUGCACCCAGGGCUGUCCCGUGGCACAGCCCGGCCAUGGCCCAUGUCCCGAGGACACCCAAACCCACCGCCCACGGACCUCAAGUGAUGUGAAGAAGGAUCCGACCUGCUCCAGACUGACUCGGGCAAGGGGCGACCCUCGCAGGGGUGACCCACAGCCCAGCACACGGGGUGGCUCCAGGCCAUGGGGGUCAUUCUUUGGUUCCUUCCAUUAACGCUUCCCAUCGCCUCCUCCUGCGAAUCGCACCUGAAACUGGGACUGGGUGAGUCCCACAGCAAGAAGAGGAAUACACAUCCAAGUGGAGAAAGCGGGAGCUUGGAAAUCCUGCCCGCGCGGCUCAGCAAACCUCACGUGCGUGGCGGGAGGAGCAGGAGCCGGGUCUGACGCUGGAAACCAAACCUGGGCAGCAGGGAAGUGCCAGCACAGGGACCUCUGAGCUGGUCCCCAGGAGACGCUGCUGCCCCUUUGCAGGCUGGCACCCUCCCCAUCCCAUGAAGGGGUCAGCGAGGCGAUGCUGGGAGCUCGGCGUUCUGGGAGCCUCUGCGCAGAAACACCACCGUGACCUGCUCUGGCACCGCAUCAUCGUGGCCGUCCCUGUUGGAUCUGAGUUUGUGCAUGAAGUACGUCAGGAAUAUUGUAAGCACAGACUGCAGCUGGUGCUUCUACAGGCCGUCGAGGACUGAUGGGAGCAAAUGAUGGGGGACACCGGCUGUGCGCACACCUCUGUGCCCCGUGGGGGCGAAAUUGUUGAAUGCCAGUACUACCUGGGCUUUGCCGGCACGGCCACCAGCCACUCCGCGGUGGGAGCAGGAGGAUCCCACUGCAGGUCAUCUCCAUCCCACACAUGUCCCUCAGCAUCUCUCCGCGUUCUGGUUUCUUGGCUCGGUGCUGUGUGUGCCGCCAUGGGAAGAUUGGAACCAGCCAGGUCAUUUUCAAAGUCAUUUUUUAAUAAAGAAAAGAUACUCCUCUUGUUCUCCCAGACACGCAUCUUAAAAUAUUUGGAGAUAACUGACCCAGACCCACCCUGCGGAUUAUAGAGUUUGUAAAAGGGAGAAGGCGAUGAGAACGAUCCCUUUCUCGCUCUCUCAUUAAUUACAAGGAUUAAAUGCCAAGGCAGCUUCACAACA